rnacentral:ncRNA from 17 species
UAAUGAGUGAACUUUAUUCAUUACAACCAUAUACAUGUUGAGCUAUCUGGCGGAAAACAGAUGGCUCAUUAUUUCAAUAUUCUGCUAAGGACAGCCAGUGGUCGGCUGUCUUUUUUAUAUU